GCGGCUGUGAUUUAACAGCAGAAUGUCUCCCCGCCAAGGAGGAUGUCCGGGUGCGAUUCCCGGCAGCCGCUCCA
rnacentral:tRNA from 1 species